rnacentral:lncRNA from 1 species
AGCCAAUACAGACAACGUAAAACAUGACAUAAACAACCAGAGAAAAUGGCGGACAUCGAAACAAUUGACACGCGAAACCGCGAUGUGAAUUGCCUCUAUUGGCCUGAUUAUAUAUUUCGUGAGUGUUAAUGGCGUCCUUGUUUCUUUGAUGAGUUGAAAUUUUCCUGCUGUCAUUGCUGACAAUCAUGAUUUUAUGUAAAGAUGGAAUUGGACACCGAUACUUUAUCACAAAACCAAUAAUAUCACUAUCACAUAAACGUACAUUGACAGCUUCAAAUGGCAUAGUUAAUACAAACAAGUAUUGUGAUCACACUCCACGGCGUAAUAGCAUGUUUUGCCCCAAGAGCACCGUGGAUCCACGGUGCAAUAGCACCAAGUGACAUUAGAGCGCCGUGGAUCCACGGUGCAAUAGCACUAUAUGACACUAGAGGGCCGUGGACUCCACGGUGCAAUAGGCGCAACCCUGCAAAAAACGACGGGCAUCCCUAAAAUGCGAAAGCGAAACGCGAAACGAACAGCGACUAAAACGCGGAACGCUGUGCGAAACAACCCCCAGGCAAUGGGCUGCGGAACACUCAAAUAUCGCCUAAGGGCAGCCUAAAUAGCGAAACGAUUUUGCGACACACUUAUUUGAAAUGCCAUUGGAUUUUGCAUUUCAUUUAGAGAAAUAAGAACCGUGUACUAUUCUUUUUUGAGAAAAUUUAACACCGAUAAUACGGAACGCCGUUUGAUCCAUUUUUUUAUAGACAACUCUUAAUGCUAGCUGAUCGUUUCUGUAGCGAAUAAAUAGCUAGCUAGCACUGCCAUCUAGCGUUAAAAAACGACACUAAUAGGAGGGAUUUGAAUAGACCACGCCUUCAACGAAGGAGGACUCCACUACAUAUUGAAUUUAUCGAUCGAUUGCUAGGCCCAUUUCGAUCGCUACUGUGCAGUCAAUGGCGGCAUGGCGGAGACACGCAUUGGAACUUGGAAGUGGAUGCAUGUGCGACUUGAUGUGGCGUUGCAUGUGGCAGGCUCCGUUGGUAAUGCAGUAGCAAUCUGUUAUGUCCAAACAUGGAAUGAGUCGCAUGUGACUAAGUCAACCAAAUGUGGCAACAACAUUAAGUCAGCGAUGGAAUUAGUCAGUGGAAAACAACACAUUCAUUCCUGAGGAUGGUUUUGAGUUUAUCUAUGCUUAUUUUUUCAGGCCAACUGGAAGGAUUCCUCCUUUUCACAGAACUUUACCAUUUUCAUGGUAUACUUAACUGCUUGUCAGCGGAUUGUCACUUGGCAUCAUUUGAAUGGUAUGAUCCAUAUCAGCAGUGUUAUGAUGCACUUCUUAAAUACACCAAUCCCUCAGAAAAUAUUCUAAUUGAAAUUAUGGAAAUUUCUGCCCUUCAUGCAGAACUGCACAAUGAUGGGUUUGUAUAAACAAGCUUGAAAUGACAAACCAACAGUAUUUUUGGUUUGGCUUACACAUGCAGCUCUAUGACAUGUUGAUGUUAGCUAAAUUGUUAUUAAUCAUAGGGGCAGGUAGUAUGAAAUGAAAUAUCUUCUCUUGGAUGUUUGUGUCUAUGUAUUUGUUUGAGAUGACUCUUGAUGCAGGAAGCUUUUCCUGCUUCUUACGAAAAGGGACAUUGGAUGCCUUAAUGUCUAAUACCAACCAAGUGUCAUUGCAAAGAUAGGUCAAAGAAAUAUUAAUAUAGAUUACACUCUGAGUGAUGGUGACAUGGUAUCUUACUGAUUUCUAUUGGUUUAAUUUGUGGAAAGAAUAUCUUGAGCGGGACAAUUGGAUCACAAUUGACUAGAUGUUUUACUAUUUUUAAUGAGUUUAUCACAAAGAAUUUUUUACUGAUUCAUAUUCUGUUUCUGUAAUGUAGGUAGAAUAAUCGCAAUGUCAUGGUAGUAAUUCGCGAGAGAUAUGCCAAUAGGGUUUUCGCUGUUUUCAAUUCGAAAUCGUAAUGGAUUUGAAGAGGAUAUUGAUGGAGUUUUGGUAUAAAAAAGUACAUGUUCGUUGGAAGGGCACCGAAGAGUUCCGGAUCCUUUUACUAUCGCACAUGUUAUGUGCGUGUAAAACUAAAGGCUAAAAGAAGAAGAAUGAUUCAAAAACUGUGGGAGAGAAUCAUCAAAGAAUUACACUCGUUUAGGUAAUCCUUUCGGAUUCGAUUCCGCCGUUUGUGCUGCCCUUUUCUAUAAAGCACUUCUACUAAAGAGUGACGACUCGUCGCGAGUGCAUGACAUCAAUAUCGAUAACGGUUUCCUGCGUAAAGACGAAUCCGAGCAAGUCGUCACUAGUUUACAGCAACUCGGGCUCAAUCUUCGGAGUUCUUUUCCAGACAGUGGCUUCUCAUUUCUAUUGUCAUACCAGCGAUCAGAUUUGAUGUUUCGAAUUGUUUUGGGUUGCUAAAGCAAGAUUGACUUUCUACGAUGCUUCCACCAACGUGCAUGAUCGCCAAACUUUGUCGUUGUGUCGGACUGUAAAUCCGGAAGAUAAACGUCGAAUUAUUGGCGAUUGUUUGUCAAAGUGAUAGAUAGAACGGCUAACGAUUUAAAGGUCACUUGGGAUAAUCUACUUCUCGGAUAAGUUUAUUUGAGACCGGAUUUAAUUGGGGCCGCUUCGCAUAUGGCUUCUUCGCGCGCUGAUGCCAUAAAGACUCAUCGUAACGAUUCCGAAAUGGUUCGUCAAUUGAGCAUUUACGGUCCUGUAGUAGAAUCUCUUAAAGAUUUCAUUUCCAUAAAGAUGAAGUAAGAUCUUAGGUCGUGAGCUGGGUCUGUCCACAGUAUUACUGGAAUGUCACCCGUUUCCUGGUCCUGGUUAUAUAUUUAUAUUUAGUUAUAUUAUUAUUCUAAAAACCCAGAGGUGUUCUUCACUUUUCUGUAGGUUGAUUGAUGAUACUUGUUGAUUAAUCCAUGAAGAAUACCAAUACAUGGAUAAGUGGAGGGUAAUAAAAGUUUAAAAAUGUAA